CCUACGGGUGGCAGCAGUGGGGAAUAUUGCACAAUGGGGGGAACCCUGAUGCAGCAACGCCGCGUGGGUGAAGAAGUACUUCGGUGCGUAAAGCCCUGUCAGCAGGGAAGAAAAUGACAGUACCUGGAUAAGAAGCCCCGGCUAACUACGUGCCAGCAGCCGCGGUAAUACGUAGGGGGCAAGCGUUAUCCGGAUUUACUGGGUGUAAAGGGAGCGCAGGCGGCGGGGCAAGUCAGGUGUGAAAGCCCGGGGCUCAACCCUGGGAGUGCAUUGGAAACUGUACUGCUGGAGUGCAGGAGGGGUAAGCGGAAUUCCUGGUGUAGCGGUGAAAUGCGUAGAUAUCAGGAGGAACACCGGUGGCGAAGGCGGCUUACUGGACCGUAACUGACGCUGAGGCUCGAAAGCGUGGGGAGCAAACAGGAUUAGAUACCCUGGUAGUC
rnacentral:rRNA from 1 species